CUGUGGAGUUGAUGUCUCAGGCAGGCAGCGUCUGAGAGCCUGGCCCAGUUGUCCCUGUUGCAACGCUGUGAAACACACAGGGGCUUCUCCAACAUCUGCUUUCUAAAGAGAACAUUAUGGAGUGGCCUGAAGAUUUUCCUGAAGACCAUGCCUUUGUGGAGCUGCUGGUUCCAGGGGGUUCCAGUGACCUGGACUUUGAACAACUGCUCAAAGAUACAGAGGAGAAACUCAAUCUCAAUGCCAGCAGAUUCCACAUCUUGAAACGAAAACCCUUGGAUGGGAGAGGGAUAACCAUUAUGAGAACAAAGCGUCCAGAUAAUGGAGAAUGGGGCUAAAAAUAAGGCAAUCCUCCUCUCGCCGUGGGGGACCACUGGGUGGCCUGCGGACUUAUGUGCACCUGCACAUGCAUCCACAGCUCACUCACCUGCUUCCUAAUUGACUUAUCGGUGUCUGGGACAAAUUACGGAAGUGGAGGAGAGGAAAGGGAAACCAAGAGACAGAGGAGACGGAGCUGCUCACACCCGUGAAGGACUUUAGCCUGUUUAUGGGUCAGAGUGACUGGCCUGCUCCCAGUUCUCAGAUGUCAAAGAUUUGCCUAAGACCUGCUCCCUAAUUGAAGGAGAUUAAGAUAGGCUGACAACAGAGCUGGCUCCCUCAAAUUGAAAUGCUGUAAUCCAUUAGUUUUCAUCAGAUGGGACAGUGCAAGGUUGGGUGCUGAGAAGGGGU
ensembl:lncRNA